CAUCAAACAAAAGCAGCUGUUUAGCUAUCUAAAAUGAGUUAGAUCUAUUUGCAUUUAUCUCCUUUAUAAUAAAUUAAAAUUUACUACGCUAAGAAUAAGGCUUUUUAAAAAUAUGUAGAUCACAGGUGUUCAAGAUAUUGAGCUAGUUCCCUAAACUGCUUUGGUUCAAGUUUCUCUAGAUUUAAAAUACUGAAGAUGAUGCCAGCAGCUUUACCUAACUCUUAGACAUAAACUAAAUGCAACUACAUCAUCUCAGGAGAAGUCAGAAGUUAAGGAAUUACACCUGGGCCUAGCAAUGGGGAAUGAGCCAAUGGAUAAUUACCUCAGCCACAUCUCUUUAUAUGGACAAUUCUGGAAAAUACUCCAUGCUUCUUGGAAGGCCUGUAGGAGUCAAGUUUUGUGGUCAACAGAAAGGACCUUACUAAUGCAUGCUUUAUUUUAUUUUCUUGCCCCACCACCCCCGGUCUUACUUUCUUCACACAUUUAUUUGUGCUACUUGGAAACACUCCCAAAUAAAUUACCUCCAUACAAGUCCUUGUCACAGGCUUUGCUUUCAAUGAAGUUCUUACUAAAAUACAUUGCACGAACCAGUCCAACAGUGUUUGGGCUGGUUAAAGAAGAGAGUUAAUCUGCCCUCUUGCCUUUUAGGAAAGGCACUGAUAAUAGCCUGAUUUUCUCUGUCCUCAGAGAUUCCUAUACUACAUAUAUAAACAUAUAUACCAUUUCCUUGGCCAAGCACAGUGGCUCACACCUGUAAUCCCAGCACUUUGGGAGGCCAAGGUGGGAGAAUCCUGCCCCCUUUUGAAUAACUGGAUUGAAUUCGAAACAAUUAAAAGGGAAAAGAAAAGAGGAGGUAGAAGAGGGAAAAGUGAAGGAGGAGAAGAAAAAAAAAUCAAAAACUCCUCAAUUACUCUUCAGUUCUUCAUAUUACAUCCCUUAGGGCUUCUGCAUUCACAUAUACCUGGAACUAAACUGGCAUAAAUACAACAUCACCCAUACCAUCAGUACAACUGCCGAAAGUCUAUUAAAUAGCAGAGAUCAGUUUUUCCAAUUAAGUGACUGUGCACUACUCGUAUUAUCCAAUAUAGCUAUUAAAAAACGAAAAAAGCAUCUUGGACUUCACUGUAAAAGAGUUGGGAUGCAAUAUAAACUUUUAAAACUAAAGUAUGAUCUGUUCAUUAUUAUUUUUAAAGUCUAGUAUUUAAAAAGUAGACACAAAUAAAUAUAGUAAUAUUUUAGAUACGGGGGCAGUGAAAUAAAGGAUAAAACCCCACUCAUAUUUCUGGUUUGAAUAACUGGAUUGAGAUUUGAUUUACUGAGAAGGGAAAAUAAAAGAGGCAGAGGAAGAAAAAUAAAAGGAGGAGAAGGAAAAAAAUUACAACAGUUAACAUCGUCAGGCACCAUGAUACCUAUAUUGAUUUUCAUUUUGCCAUCAUAGCUCAAGAGGUAGGUAUAAUUAUGACUUCCAUUCUGGACAUAUAAAAACUGAAUUCAAGCCAGGCACAGUGGUUCCCUGUAAUCCCAGCACUUUCAGAGGCUGAGGCGGGAGGAUCACUUGAGGGCAAGAAUUUGAGACCAGCCUGGCCAACAUGGUGAAACCCCAUCUCUACUAAAAAUACAAAAAAAAAAAAAAAAAAAAAAUUAGCCAGGCGUGGUGGUGCAUGCCUGUAAUCUCAGCUACUCGGGAGGCUGAGGCAGGAGAAUAACUUGAAGCUGGGAGGCGGAGGUUGCAGUGAGCUGAGAUCGCGCCACUGCACUCCAGCCUGGAUGACGGAUCAAGACUCCAUCUCCAAAAAAAAAAAAAAAAAGAACUUGUACAAAGGCACAUAGUUAGUAGAUGAUUUGUCAGUACUUCGGACAAGCUAGUAGGUAGUCUAAAACUAGAACCCAUAACCACAACAAAACAAUUUAUAGAGGUGAUGGUGCCACAGUCACCAACAAGUCAGAUUUCCACUGGCUGAUUAACACUGAGCUUUCCAUUAUCAAUUUAAAACAAAAUUUGUAAAUAAUGCAAAAUUAUUUCUCAUUAAAAACAUGAAUGAAUCUGUAAUCCCAGCACUUCGGGAGGCUGAGGCGGGCGGAUCACGAGGUCAGGAGAUUGAGACCAUCCUGGCCAACACGGUGAAACCCCGUCUCUACUAAAAAUACAAAAAUUAGCUGUGUGUAGUGGCGUGCGCCUGUAGUCCCAGCUACUCAGGAGGCUGAGGCAGGAGAAUCCCUUGAACCCGGGAGGCGGAGGUUGCAGUGAGCUGAGAUCGCACCACUGCACUCCAUCCUGGCGACAGAGCAAGACUGUCUCCAAAAAAUAAAAUAAAUAAAAAUAAGGCAAAACAUGAAUGAAGAAUACAUGGUAUAUGUCAAAAACAGGAAAUUCUGGAUCUACUCAUUAUAUCUGUUUUUCAUAUUAUUUUUGAACUGUGAAGCAUUAUCCCACAAACUAUAUUUUAAAAAUUAAUUUAGCUGAAAAAAUAUAUGUAUUUCUUGAGAGAAUAAAAUCUCUCAUUAUGUUUAGCAAAAAAGAAAAAAAAAAUUUUUCAGGCAGCACUGGGCUUGCAUUCCCAUCCAGCAAAAAGAGGAAGGAGCUGGGUACUCUCUGUCUCUCUCUAAAAGGAGCAUGCACUCUGCUGUUUUUCCCUCUUCCCAUUCCAGGUUUUUGUAAUAGAACCAAGAAAAAAAAAAAAGAAACCAUAAAACUUGAAGAAAUUAAUUUAAUCCAAGAAACAAAAGUGUUUCAGGAAUAAGAGAGUAAGUAGUUAAUUGUGUACUAAAUGAUACUUUAAAGACAAGGUUAAAUAAACCAUGAACCAGAUUUCUUGUAGAGACAAUGGUCAAGUGAAUAAGAGACAUAGGAAAAUAAACAUUUAUAUAAUUUGUGGCAAAUAAAAAAAUAAAGUUGUAUAACAUGCAGUGGAAAUAACCCACAGUAACAUGUACAAGGCUUACAGGAG
rnacentral:lncRNA from 1 species